rnacentral:rRNA from 1 species
UACAGAGGGUGCGAGCGUUAAUCGGAAUUACUGGGCGUAAAGCGCGCGUAGGCGGCUUUGCAAGUCGGGUGUGAAAUCCCCAGGCUUAACCUGGGAACUGCAUUCGAGACUGCAUUGCUAGAGUAUGGGAGAGGGAAGUGGAAUUUCCGGUGUAGCGGUGAAAUGCGUAGAUAUCGGAAGGAACAUCAGUGGCGAAAGCGACUUCCUGGACCAAUACUGACGCUGAGGAGCGAAAGCUAGGGGAGCAAACGGG